rnacentral:tRNA from 2 species
GGAGAGGUGGCAGAGUGGCUGAAUGCAACUGCCUGCUAAGCAGUUGACCUGGGUAACUGGGUCCUCGGGUUCGAAUCCCGACCUCUCCG